ACUUCUCAAUUGAACCGGAAAACCGCUAGUGUUCCAGUGAUGACUGACUGGUUUCCGGAACAGAAUUUCAACUGACAGAAACAGAAAUGUUCAAUAAGCGGGUCAAAUGUUGUAACCGGCAAUUCAAGUACAGAUGAUAGAAAAUGUAAAGAAAGUCCUCUCAGAAGUUCUCAAAUGCCUGUACUAUCUCAAGCUCAAACAGACAACUACUCAACAAAAUAUAAUCUGGGAGAGAGACAAUAGCCUAUUGUGAGAUAUAAUGCAUGUCAAUGAAGUGUUCUCACCAUGUUCUGGUUUAAAAAUUGAACAUAAUCUAAUGUGGUCGUUUUAGGUUUUCAAUGUCUAUGUCAUUAUAUAUAAUUUGCCAGGGGAAAAUGUGUAAUAUAAUAAUAAUGUAAUGUAAAUAAUGUAAAAUAAUUCAGGCUAGAGACAUUAAAUAGAAUUUCGACAGGUGGCUCUUGAUUUUCUGAAAGUAGUUAUGCAUUUUAUACAGUGCUGUCACAGCCGAAGACGGCGAUUAUAUCAGUGAAUUAUCACCGAUUUUUUUUUUUUUUUACUGCAUCACCAAAAUGUUACUACUACAGCAACAG